UAACAAGCAGACAAACGAAAUCUUUAAUGGACCCUUCCCCCUACGGCGCUCCACACCCCCAUCCACACCAGAAUCACUCGCAACCGCUUCAACAAAGCAUUGCAGAGGACUCCGGCGUAGACAGAAGCACAGAACGCCACAAGGGGAAAGGACCAUUGAGGAUCUAAAUGCUAACACAAGUAACAUGCACUUUAAAUCUAAUUGCAGAUAAAUGAUAUAAAUAAAUAGCUAAAUACAUAAAUAAUAAAUAGAUAAAUAGCUAAAUAAAUAAAUAAAUGAAUGAAUAAUAAAUAAACAAACAAACUAAGCAGCUAAUGGGUUGGGGAUCUGAAGCCUGCGCAAGUAGCAAGGUACUUGUAAAGAUCUAACUGCAGGCUGAACAGCAGCCUUAUACUUGGCAAGGGUAUUAAUUGAUUUGACGUCGUUGGGGAGCAAAUUCCAGAUUCUUAUGGCUCUAGCGAAAAAAGAAUAGUUGAAAGCUAGGGUAUUUGCUUGCAAUUGGUUAUAAUACAGCUCUUUGCGCCUGGUGGAUCUGGUUGAUCGCGUGACAAGAUCAGGUAAUUUAGCAUGUAUAAGACUAUUAUGAAAUUUAUAAAAUAAGAUAGCCUGACUAGUUAAACGUCUUUGUUCAAGAGUGUCCCAAGAUAGGUCUUUAACAAGUUUUGUGGUACUUGCAUACGGGUCAUAUGUGUUGGUGACGAACCGUGCAGCGUUCUUUUGCACUUGUUCCAGGCGAUUGACAUCGGUAUCAGUAUAAGGGUUCCAAGCUGGAGCUGCGUAUUCAAGAAUAGGUCUUACUAAGGUAAAGUAUGCUCUCUCUUUAACUAGCUGACUGCAUGGUUUCAAAGUCCUGCGAAGAAGACCAAGAACUUUGUUUGCCUUAUCCGAGAUUUUAGAUGCGUGGGGGCCCCAGCGAAGAUUGGAGGAACAGCGUACUCCAAGGUAAUCUUGCUCUGCAACUUUGGAUAGAGACUUAUUGUUGAUGGAUAUCAUCAGCAAAUAAACGUAGGUGAGACCUGGUGCAGAGAGUAAUGUCGUUGAUGAACAAGAGGAAGAGCGCCGGACCCAA